rnacentral:ribozyme from 14 species
AAAUUAUUUGGACAAGAUAAGAUGAAAAAGCAGGAGGGCAGGAGUCUCAACUGGUGUUUUUUUUUUUUUUUUUUUUUUUU